UACGAAGGGGGCUAGCGUUGCGCGUAGGCGGACAUUUAAGUCAGGGGUGAAAUCCCAGAGCUCAACUCUGGAACUGCCUUUGAUACUGGAUGUCUUGAGUGUGAGAGAGGUAUGUGGAACUCCGAGUGUAGAGGUGAAAUUCGUAGAUAUUCGGAAGAACACCAGUGGCGAAGGCGACAUACUGGCUCAUUACUGACGCUGAGGCUCGAAAGCGUGGGGAGCAAACAGG
rnacentral:rRNA from 1 species